rnacentral:lncRNA from 1 species
AGAUGUUGAUAUAUAAAAUUAUUUCCUAAUAAUAUGUCUCCAUGCAUAGCAGGAAAACAUAAUAUUUUGGGUAUUACAAAUUGUAUAAGCCCAAAUAUGCCCGGCCCAAAUAAAUAUACAUCAGGCCCAACUAAACCCAAUAAGGCCCAAAACUAGUAACCCUAGCACUAGCCCAAAAUACAACCCUAGUGCAGCAAGCUUAACGCUGCAGCCGCCUCACCCCAACAACGCAGUGUUCUGCACGUUUGCUCUCCCUCGCGCACCUCCGCUAAUGUCGCACAUGCCGCACACGUCUCCUAUGAAUCUGCAACAAGAUCACAAAUAAUUGAUAGCAGAAAAGAAGAUGGCAAGAAUGAGGGGAUUUUUUUUAUUUUAUUUCUUUAAGAUUCGGGUAUAAAACCGAAUGAGGAUUGUGUAAAAAGGGGGAUAUCUGCUAGUUUUUUGGAAUCCAAAAAUAUACAGAAGAAAUUCUAAGAAUACAAAGGUGAAAUCGUGGUUCUGUGUUGCUGCUAUUUCAUUUAUUUCCUGUUUUGUUGUAAAAAAUAAUAAAAGAGAACAGAAACAUAGGAUCUUGAAUGGUCCUUUAUUUUUUUCUUUCUUUCGAUUUCCUUUUUCGAUUUUUUCUUUUUCUUUACUGUUUUUAAAAAAAAAGGGGAGGGGAUCUUACCUGGUACUGUCGCGGUGUCUCCUCUCCGCCGAAAUCGGAGCUUCGGUAUGAAAGGCUGACGAGUGGCGGCACAAAAGAAAAAGAUUUUUUUUAAAAACCUAGCAGAGAGUCUUGGGUUUAUUUUAUUAUUAUUUUUUUCUUUAGCUUUUGUUUGCUGCAGGUUUCAAAAAAAUAAAGAAGAAAAUUUGGUUUAAAUAGAAGGAACAAAACGGCGCCGUUUAGGGUGCCAUGACCCGCGCGUCGACUCGACCCGGAGGGGGGGAAUCCGCGCGUUCUGGCCCUGAGUGUGGAAAUUGCGCGUCUAGCCCUCCCCAUUUUGCGAUGUGUUUAAUCAAGUUUUUUUCCUUUAAAUUCGGCCCAAAUAUUUUGCUCGCGUGACGAUUUAAUCCAUAUCAGUGCGCAGUGCUUGAGUGACUUGGGAAAAUUUCUUUUUAAGUCCUCCUCUCAUGGCGUGCGUAUCAAUUUGGUCCUUCCUGGUGUUUUCUAUUUUUAAACUUGGCCUUUUAACUUCGUUUAGCUUUCAGUUUAAUCCUUAAUGGUCCUUUUUAAGUUUUUUUUUGUAGUUCAUUUUUUAGUUUUUGUUAUUAUUAUUAUUACUAUUAUCAUUAUUAUAUUAUAUAGUAUUAUAAUUAUACUUACAUAUAUACGUAUAUACAUUUAUAUUUCCAUUAUAUUUAAAUAUUUUUUCAUAUUUUAUAAUAUAUAUAUAUGCAUAUAUAGAUAUUGAUAUCCACGUACGCCCUUCAAAAUUAUUGUAAAUAUAUAUUUUUUAUAUAUAUAUGUACAUCUAUAUACACAUUUUCCUAAUUUCUUCAUAUACUAUUAUUAUUUUUGUUUUACUAAAGCAUGUAUACUUAUAUUUUUAUUUUGUAAAUAUAUACACAUCUGAUUAUUUUUUAUUUUUAUUUUUACAAUUUUCAUUACAUAUAUACAUACAUACAUGAUUUUUUUAGAAAUUUUAAUAAUUUUUAUUUUGUUAUACAUAUCUCAUUCAUUAUUUUAUUUUUUAUAUGUAUACUUAUAUAUACUUGUUUUAAUAUGUGCAUAUACAUGUUUUCAAAAUUUAUUUAUGUAUCAUACUUAUAUUUUAAUAAUACAUAUAUGCAUAUAAUUUAAAAUUAAAAUAUUGAUUUUAUGUGAUACAUUAGCAUUUUUCUACACUUUCUAAAGAAAAUGUAUUUUAGUUGCGUCAAAGCAUUAAAAUCAUCAUAUUUUACAAAUUUCCAAAAUAUUUGGCACUCAUGAUUCUCGAGAAAGAUCGUGUCCUAACUGGAUUGCGAUUAUUUUUCGAUGAAUUUAGAAAGCCAAGUAUUUGUUUUGCAAUAAAUUCGCAAAUUUUAAAUAAAAGCUUAUUCUCGGGAAUUCAAAAUGUUGGGUCCUAACUUACUGGUCAUGACAUAUUCUUCUCGAAAUAAGAAUUUUCAAAAGCAAAAGGCAAUAUUCGGGUAUUUUGAAGAUUUAAAAACAUUGUGCCCUAACUCACUGGGUGUGGUGUUUUAUUUCUUUAAAAUAAGAAUGUCUUAUUAUUUUAAUUCGUUCAUGAAAUAAAAAGUUUCCUUUUAAAAUCUUUUCAAAUUUUCGACACUAAGGCAUAAAAAAAUCAAUUUGGUACCAAUUUUGGGCGUUACGAGGGUGCUAAUCCUUCCUCGUGCGUAACUGACUCCCGAACCUGUUUUCUCAAAUUUCGCAGACCAAAAUUAUUUUUAAGGUGGGCCGAUCACACCUUAAUAAAGGAUCGGUGGCGACUCCAAUUUUGUUUUUUAAAGUCGACAACUAAAUUUUUGUUUUUCAAAAAAACGGUUUCGACACAAAUCUUACAUUGUUUAUGUAGAUUGGUAUAUUUCUAGUUUUAUAUUGAAUUAUGGUUUCGUUACCAUCUAUUCCUAUUGCUUUUAUAGGAUUUUUCAUAGGUUCCUAUUUUUUUACAGGAAUAGCAUUUUUUUUGUAACUACUGGUUGUAGCUCCAGUAUCUAAUAAAACAUGUAAAGAAUAUUUUUUAUAUUCUCUAAACUGAAAUGUAAUCUCUAUAUAUGUAUAAUAUUUCCUGGAUUGGAAAUCUGAAAAUGUAAUAAUAUAAUUUUUCCCAAUUUUUAUUUGUUGAAUAAUUGUUUGUACCUUUCCUAUUCUAGAGUUUCUAGAAUUUUCUAACAUAAAUAUAUAAAUUAUUUUAAAAUUUGUUUCUGAUAAUUUUUUAUCAGGAUUUGUUUCCUCUUUAUAACAUAUUUUUAAAUCUUGUUUUUCAAUACUUUUGAUCAUUUUUCUAGCCUCUUUUCUUUUGUUAUAAAAGUUUUUGACUAUAUGACAUUUCUUAACACCUAAAAAACAUUUAGGUUUUCCAGAAGUUUUUCUUCUAGAUUUUUUGUUACCAGUCAAUUUUUUAUUACCUGGUUUCCACUUAACUAAUUUAUACUUCUUAUCUUUCUUUUUAUGCCUAUGAUAAGUAUUAGGACGUAUUGUUUUAUAUCCUAAUAACUUUGCUGAAUUUUUAUUAAUAGUUAAAUUUUUUUAUUUUACUAGUCAAAAUACUGGUUGUAUUUUGAACUUUCUCAAAAUCUAUAUUAAAAGAUAUCAGAUAGUCAUUUGUUUGAAUAUCCGAUUCUAUUUUCCUUUUUUCAUAAGGAUCUGUUGAUUCAGUAUCCAUAGGUUUUGGAAUAUCUAUAUUUUCAUCUUCAGAUGAAGUGUUUUUUUCAUCAGAAUUAUGACUAGUGACUUUUAUGUCUUCAUCCUGAUCUGUUGAAGUUUUUUCUUCAUCAGAUUGAUAACUGGUAGCUUCUAAGUUUUCUGUAUUUUCAAAAUUAUUAGAACCACUACUAUUUGAAGUAUCAUAAUUUAACAUAUAAUGAUAAUUAAACAAAGUAAAUAGAUCUUUAUGUUUUUUCAUAAAGUUCUUCUAUUAACUUUUAAAUAUUCUACCUUUUCUAAUUUAUCAGUACUAUUAAUAAAUUUAUCUUUCCAAUGUUCUAUAAGGUUUUAUAGGAUUGGAAAUCAUAUUUUUGUUGUUUUUCAUAUUUUUUCCGUUUUUUUAUGAUUUUUAUAUUUUUUAGACGAAGUUGAUUCUUCAGGCAAAUCAUUACCUGAUUUAUAUUAUUAUUAUUAUUAUUAUUUAUAACCUGAUCUAAUUUAUUAUUAACACUAGUUAAUAUUUUUUUAGAUUCGCUAUUCAAAUCUAAAUUUUUAACUUCUCCUAGAUUAUUUACUUUUUGUUCUAUAUUACUAACCUUAUUAUAUAAUUUGCCAAAAUAAAAAAGAAGUUAUAUCUACUAAACUAUUUAUACCCUUACUCAGAGAUGAAAUGUUAUUUUAGUUCUUAGGGUCUAUAUGCAUAGUAUGAUCACAAGUUUUAUCUUUAUGUAAACACUCGAUUUGUUCCAUUUUACUUGUCCCUGGUACAUAAGACUGGCCUGUUAUCUUAACGUCUUCACUCAAACGCCUAACGUCCUCCCUGGACUCAAUGGCAACAAGAAGACAUGCUAACAAAUAUAGGUUUUGGGUCAAAUAACAGUGAAACAAACAGAACUGUGAAUUAAAGAUAAAAACUUACAAUGAAUACUAUGAUAUUAUUUCUCCAAGAAAUCGUUACACCGACACCUCUGAUACCAAUAGGGGGAAGGAAGGUAGAGUGCGAUCUACAAGCGGAAGACUAUAGACUUUUUAAUUUACAAAAAGGAAGGCUAUUACAAAAGGAAAAGUAAGCUAAGUAUUUUAAAAAAUACAGGAGAGAAUUUGAUAUUUU